rnacentral:rRNA from 1 species
CCUACGGGAGGCAGCAGUAAGGAAUAUUGGACAAUGGUGGCAACACUGAUCCAGCCAUGCCGCGUGCAGGAAGAAGGCGCUACGCGUUGUAAACUGCUUUUGUACCAGAGAAAAUCAUUGUACGUGUACGAUGUUGAUAGUAUGGUAAGAAUAAGCAUCGGCUAACUUCGUGCCAGCAGCCGCGGUAAUACGAAGGAUGCAAGCGUUAUCCGGAUUUAUUGGGUUUAAAGGGAGCGUAGGCGGCUUUAUAAGUCAGUGGUGAAAUCUUGUCGCUUAACGACAAACGUGCCAUUGAUACUGUAGAGCUUGAGUACAGAUGCCGUUGGCGGAAUGUGUCAUGUAGCGGUGAAAUGCAUAGAUAUGACACAGAACACCGAUUGCGAAGGCAGCUGACGAAACUGUAACUGACGCUGAGCUCGAAGACGUGGGAGUACAACAGAGUAGUAUACCUACGUAGUACACCGACCCUAACCUACUAGUAUACUUCGUUGUUGUGCGAGUAUACAGUACGUAACGUAA